GUCAACUGAAUUUCAAAGCCUUUGUGUUUUUCUGGAUGUUCUGUGGUAACGUCUCUAUUGGUUUAUUGAUGGGAGGAAGAAGACUGAAUUCAACACAGUACUGGGACUGAACACUACAGAGCCCAUCUCCGAUCCUGCCCCUGAACUGCAGUGGGAAUGCCCCCCUCCUGUCAAUGAGUGGUUUGAUUUCAACGGUAUUGCAGCAGCAGUCCAAGACUGAACGACCCUACAAACUAUGAGGGAAUCCCCGGUGGUAUAGCCCCCCC